AGCGAACGCUGGCGGCAGGCCUAACACAUGCAAGUCGAACGAACUCUUCGGAGUUAGUGGCGGACGGGUGAGUAACACGUGGGAACGUGCCGUUAGGUUCGGAAUAACUCAGGGAAACUUGUGCUAAUACCGAAUGGGCCCUUCGGGGGAAAGAUUUAUCGCCUUUAGAGCGGCCCGCGUCUGAUUAGCUAGUUGGUGAGGUAAAGGCUCACCAAGGCGACGAUCAGUAGCUGGUCUGAGAGGAUGAUCAGCCACAUUGGGACUGAGACACGGCCCAAACUCCUACGGGAGGCAGCAGUGGGGAAUCUUGCGCAAUGGGCGAAAGCCUGACGCAGCCAUGCCGCGUGAAUGAUGAAGGUCUUAGGAUUGUAAAAUUCUUUCACCGGGGACGAUAAUGACGGUACCCGGAGAAGAAGCCCCGGCUAACUUCGUG
rnacentral:rRNA from 1 species